UGACUGCAUGAACUGUUGAAGGAGUUUCAUGCCUCGUGUACUGAGCAUGAGCUUCUCUUCCAUGACUGUGCGGCAA
rnacentral:pre_miRNA from 1 species